AUUGAUUGCCCCGCCCACUCCAUUCUUCUCUUCCUGCUACUAGGAUGAUUGCUCUAGCUCUUCUUCCUUUUCAAGUCCCGCCCUUCAGUUACCCGCUCUGGAUAGGGAUCGGUAACCCAAAAAGGGCCGGCAAAAGCGCCGACGUAUUUAGAGAAGCGGAAGUAGUCAAAUUUCACUAAGAACCUUAAAGUGAGGCUGGCUGUCUGCCUUUCCGGAUAACGACAACAGCUCCGACUGUCAAUGCCGGCCUUCCUCGUGUAAGGGAACCUGCGGGACCCUUGCUAAUUCAGUCCCCCCCGCCCCCGCCCCGUUCUGGGCCCUUCCCUAUCGUCGCCCUCUUCACCUUGGAUCAUGUUCAAGAACCAUGAACAUAUAGAAAUCCUUACAGUAAAUGAUCCUUUUAUCCUGCCACACCAGCAGGUUGAUAAAGGAGCCAUCAAAUUUGUGCUCAGUGGAGCAAAUAUCAUGUGUCCAGGCUUAACUUCUCCUGGAGCUAAACUUUACCCUGCUGCGGUAGAUACGAUUGUUGUAUUCUUCCUACAACUCUUGAAACAACUCUUCCUACAAUGCUGUAACUCUUGAAAAAUAUGUUCAUUGUGCUCUUGUUAUUACUGAAAGAUCCAUCAUCGAAGAGAACAUGAGAAGUACUUUUUUGGAGCCCUGUGUUUUCAGGCAAUCAUGGCAGAAGGAAAACAGCAUGCCCUGUGUGUUGGAGUCAUGAGGAUGUCUGCAGAAGAUAUUGAGAAAGUCAACAAAGGAAUUGGUAUUGAAAAUAUCCAUUAUUUAAAUGAUGGGCUGUAGCAUAUGAAGACAUAUAAAUGAGCCUCAGAAGGAAUGUACUUGGGCUAAAUAUGGAUAUUGUGCUGUAUCUGUGUUUGUGUCUGUGUGUGACAGCAUGAAGGCAAUACCUCUGUGGUUAUGCUUAAUAAAUUCGACAGAUGCUAAAACGCUGUUAGCUUCAAAAAUUAUAUUUUCUUAAACUCACAUUAAAUUUGGGUAAUAAACUUGGACAUUAAAAGGUAUCUGGUAAGAAACCAAACUCAGACAACUUAAUGUCCUUUCUCAGGCUAACGAUUUAAGAUGAACGGCAAGACUUGGUAAAUGAACUUGCUGUAUGGCUGACAUCCCCCCCGCCCUGUGAAUAUGACUACUUAAUGGGGCUUGAAGCUAGACUAGGAUUUUUAUCCCAGGGAACCUAGUAGUGCCCCCUCUCUUUUGUGUGUGUGUUUUUUUUUUGUUUGCUGUGGUUGUGUUUUUUGUUUUUUUGCUGUACCCAUGGCCUAUGGAGGUUCCGAGGCUAGGGAUUGAACCUGGAUCACAGUUGCUACCAGGUGCAGCAAUGCUGGAGCCUUAACUCAUUGUGCCACAAGGGAAUUUCUGCUGUGGUUGUUUUUAUUUUCAUUUGGAAAUAUUCUCUUCAUUAUGGAAAAUUCUGAACAUUUAGGAAAGUAUGGGGAGAAGAGGAUAAUGGACAUUCUCUGUAUCCAUCACCCAGCUUCAAUUCCCGGCCAAUAUUAUUUCAUCUAUAUCUCACUCAUUCCUUCCCACUCCACUCCCCAAUUAUGAAGCAAAUCUCAGAUAUAUUGAUUCAUCCAUAAUUUUUUUUUUCUUUUUUGGCCGCCCCCCGGCAUAUGGAGUUCUUGGGCUAGGGAUCAGAUCUGAGCAGCAGUUGCAACCUACUGCUGUGGUAUUGCCCACUGUGCUGGGUCAGGGAUUGAACCUGAAUCCUGAUGCUCCAGAGGUGCCUCGAUCCUGUUGCACCACAGUGGGAACUUCCAUAA